UUAUAGCCCUGAUUGAAGCGGCAUCCUUUUCUUUUUUUCUUUAAAAAAGAAAAGAUAUAGCAAAAAGCAGGAAAUAGC
rfam:Flavobacterium sp. AED Contig01, whole genome shotgun sequence.